rnacentral:rRNA from 1 species
AUAGCGUAUAUUAAAGUUGUUGCAGUUAAAAAGCUCGUAGUUGGAUCUCAGUUCGAGUCAAGCGGUCCACUUGUUAGUGGUUACUGUUUGACUGAACACUUUACCGAGUUGUCCUAUGGUGCUCUUCACCGAGUGUCAUAGGCGAUCGGUACGUUUACUUUGAAAAAAUUAGAGUGCUCAAAGCAGGCGUAACGCCCGAAUAAUGUUGCAUGGAAUAAUGGAAUAGGACCUCGGUUCUAUUUUGUUGGUCUUCGGAAUCUGAGGUAAUGAUUAAGAGGGACAGACGGGGGCAUUCGUAUUGCGACGCUAGAGGUGAAAUUCUUGGACCGUUGCAAGACGAA